UCUGGUGGCGAUAGCGAAGAGGUCACACCCGUUCCCAUCCCGAACACGGAAGUUAAGCUCUUCAGCGCCGAUGGUAGUUGGGGGAUUCCCCCUGUGAGAGUAGGACGCUGCCAGGC
rnacentral:rRNA from 1 species